GAUUAUGGCUCAGAACGAACGCUGGCGGCAGGCCUAAGUCAUGCAAGUUGAACGGCUGUAGCAAUACAGCAGUAGCGGACGGGUGAGUAAUGUAUGGGAACGUAUCUUCUAGUGGGGAAUAUUCUUUGGAAACGAAGAGCAAUACCGCAUGAGUCCUACGGGAGAAAGUCGCAAGACGCUAGAUGAGCGGCCCAUAUUGGAUUAGCUAGUUGGUUAGGUAAUGGCUGACCAAGGCAACGAUCCAUAGCUGGUCUAAGAGGACGAUCAGCCACAUUGGGACUGAGACACGGCCCAGACUCCUACGGGAGGCAGCAGUCAGGAAUAUUGGACAAUGGGGGCAACCCUGAUCCAGCCCAUGCCGCGUGAGUGUUAAGGUCUUCGGAUUGUAAAGCUCUUUUGUGUGGGAAAAUGAUGAUGGUACCACAAGAAUAAGCACCGGCUAACUUCGUGCCAGCAGCUGC
rnacentral:rRNA from 1 species